rnacentral:rRNA from 1 species
GAUGAACGUUGGCGGAGGGCGGAAUACAGGCAAGUCGAGCGAACAGACGAGGAGCUUGCUCCUCUGACGUUAGCGGCGGACGGGUGAGUAACACGUGGAUAACCUACCUAUAAGACUGGGAUAACUUCGGGAAACCGGAGCUAAUACCGGAUAAUAUAUUGAACCGCAUGGUUCAAUAGUGAAAGACGGUUUUGCUGUCACUUAUAGAUGGAUCCGCGCCGCAUUAGCUAGUUGGUAAGGUAACGGCUUACCAAGGCAACGAUGCGUAGCCGACCUGAGAGGGUGAUCGGCCACACUGGAACUGAGACACGGUCCAGACUCCUACGGGAGGCAGCAGUAGGGAAUCUUCCGCAAUGGGCGAAAGCCUGACGGAGCAACGCCGCGUGAGUGAUGAAGGUCUUCGGAUCGUAAAACUCUGUUAUUAGGGAAGAACAAAUGUGUAAGUAACUAUGCACGUCUUGACGGUACCUAAUCAGAAAGCCACGGCUAACUACGUG